rnacentral:tRNA from 1 species
ACCUGAGUGGCUCAGUCAGUUGAGCGUCUGACUUUGGCUCAGGUCACGAUCCUCAUGGUUUGUGGGUUUGAGCCCCAUUUUGGGCC